ACUGGAGAGGGAUCACGCGUCAUAACCAUUCAUGAAGCACAAGGGCAAAGCUUCGGCGAGGUCAUCAUCGUCCAGACAAAGACCAAGAGGCUACAAAUCCACGACAAUGUGCCUCAUGCGGUAGUAGCGUUGACAAGACACUAACACCUGUUGUCUACUACACUGACGACGAUGAUGACGCAAUCGGCAGGUUCGUUAGCCGAGCGCUGGGUGCCUCGACGAAAACCAUCUUGGAGCACAAUCUAAAAAGAACCAUCUUCAAGUGUGAUAUGUCGCUGGCAAGGGCUCUGCUCAAGAUGCUGGGGGCAGGUCUAUGAAUUAGUGACACAGUGCGGCGUUUGAUAUAAAAAUAAAGCAGAUAUAGAUAUAUAAUUAUAUAGGUGUAUUUAAUGUAGUGGAAUGUAAGUAAAAAACAGAAACAAAUAAAUAAUAAAUAGAUCAAUAUUAAUAAUAACUAUAUAUAAAUAAAUAUAUUUAAAACAUCCCUUACUAAUUAACAUAGGUUAAGUGUAUACUCGUAUUGUAAGUAGAACAUAAGUGUACAUAUAUGAUAACUAGCAAAUAGUGUAAAUAUAGACAUAGAUAAGAAUAAUAAUAAAAUGUUCAGAAGCUAUGAAUGAAUGAAUGAUGAGUGAUCAAAGAGUAUUUGUAAGGGGAAAAAAACCAUCAGCGUCGGCCCACGGCCUAGUUUUACUAGUCACAGGACUGUCGAUUUGUAGUUGUACUGAAAAAUCGCCUGUGGUAUGUAAUGCAUGCAUGUUUAAUAAAAGGCAUGGGCAUUUUGAGUUAAUUUGCAAGUAAAA
rnacentral:misc_RNA from 1 species